rnacentral:lncRNA from 1 species
CUGUACCGAUACAGCAAGCAGAAAAGGCUGAUUUUCGCCAGUUUGAUGCAAUUUCUCACUUUUAACAUUCCAAGCAUCCUCUAACUUAUCCAAACACUUGUUCUAACCUUUUAGAACAUGUAGGAGUGAUCCACACACCAUUCCACAUACUCGAACUCCGCAAUUUGCAAAAGUUCAGUAUAUUACAGAAAUAUCUCGGUAUUACAUUUUCAUACAACAUCCACAUAAUACAUUCACAUCUCCAAAAUGUGUAUACAAGUUCAACAUCUACAAACACGA